CCUUAGCUGCCUCUGGAUUUACUGUUUCAGUCAUCAUCUCCUUGUAAAGAUCCAUUAGGAGAUUCAACUGUUGACGAAUUUCGGUAGCAGCCUUGCAAUUCCGGAAGUCAGGAGUCCGAAGAACCUCAAUAACAUGAGGUCUGAGAUCUUUAACAAUGAGUCGCAUCUUGAAAUAAGGGGUGGAGGCGUCAAGUUGCUUCUUUCGACUGUUCAUGUGUUGUUCAGAAGAAGGAUUUUUUUGAAUUGGGGGUUCCAUGGAUUCACUUUCCCUUCUACUAUGUACAAAUGGAAGAGUUCCGCGGUUUUUUGGCUGGGAGAUCCUUGAUUUUUUGUCUGGGAUUUGGAAAAGAAAAUGUUCUGCGGUUUUUUUGGCUGGAAUUUGGAUAGAAUAAGUUCCACGAUUUUUUAGCCGGGAGAUCCUCGAUUUUUUGGCCGGGAUUUGGAAAAGAAAAAGUUCCGCGGUUUUUUUGCAUGUGAGAUCCUCGGGUUUUUGGCCCGGAUUUCUAUGCUACCAUGAAUUUUCUUUAGGAUGUUUAUUUAUGCUUACUUUUUUCAUUAUUAUUAUUAAUAUUAAGAUUUACGCAGUAAACCGCCAUGCGUUUCUUACUGACUCCAGAACUUUCACAUGAUGUAUUACAUUAGUAUCAGGAGAACAGAAAUGAAGAAAAUGCACUGGCAUGUACAUAAUCUCGUGACUAGUGUGGAUUAAAUUGCUAGUAACUUGGUGAUGUAUUUCAUCAACUGUUCAAAUGAGAAAUCGAAAAAAAUAAAUUUGAUAGGAAGCUUACGUUGACGAAUUUCGGUAGCAGCCUUGCAAUUCCGGAAGUCAGGAGUCCGAAGAACCUUCAAGAUGACAAAUAAAAGUAAGCUCCUAUAACAUCCAAUAAAAUGAGUUAACAUUCAUGAAGGCAAUGGAAAAGUGAGAGUUUUUCCAUGGAUUGGCCUUUACAACUUUCUUCCCAGUGUCAUUUGGGAGUUUUUCCAUGGAUUCGCCUUUGACAACUUUCUUCCCAGUGUCAUUUGGUGCUUACAGAUAAGACCUUUAGGUGUUUAACUAUCAUUACGCAUUGCUUGAGGUCUCAUUUUCCAAAAAUGAAUCUAGAGAACUUUAACAAGCUAACCAAAAUAAUAAAUGAGAAUUAUGCAUGAUAUAUACACAUUUUUGUGCAUAAUGCUUCUCUUAUUCUGGUUCAAGAUCUUACAUCAAAUUAGCAAUUUUCAGCUCAAGGCAAAGGUGAGUCCUCAGUUCUGUAAGGCAUUCAGAUCCAACGCAUGGGGAGAGAAACUUUCCCCGUUAUGGCAUAUCCAAGCAGCUUAAUGAAACAAAGGAUUUUAUAUCUUAUAUUGAAAUAAGUUCAAGCACAAUCACAGGUUCUAACCACAUUAGUGCCAGUUAAUAGACACCUACAGUUUACACACGUUUGAAGUGGUGGACUGAGAUAGAUUAAACUUAUUGUGAUACUCAAGGAACCUAUUGGAAACAUACCAAAACCUAGCUGGAUUCAUAUAUCAGAUAAAGUGUCACAACUGAAAAUAAUACAUAAUGUACUGUAUUACAGCGCUUUACUGUAUCAACCGCGAGUUUACAGCUUGCCUUGGAAUAUUAGUCAUAGACUAAUAGCUUUUGGCUUAGUACUAAGCCACUACAUACCCAUGUUUGUCAAAGUUCUAGAACCCCAGUUUGUCCAAAUAGCUUUUGGUUUAGUACAAAGCCACUACAUACCCAUGUUUGUCAAAGUUCUAGAACCCCAGUUUGUCCAAGUUCAAGAACCCAAAGCGGGAUUAUAAUAGAAACCAGAUAUAAGGACCUAGAAGAAAGCCUUGGAGGAACGGUAAAGUUAUCUCCAAAUGAUAUAUAAGUCACGGGUUCGAUCCGUGAAAUCAACUAACUCUUGCGUCAUGAUAGGUCUCCUACAUCACAUCCACUUGGAGUGCAGUCCUUCCCGGACCCUGCGUGAAUACGGGAUGCUUCAUGGCUUCAUGUACUAGGCUACCCUUUUUAUAUAUACACCUACCUGACCAAUACCCCGAAUAAGCAAACAGUAAUGGCAGAGACUUACAGUUGCAAGGAGAAUAAUGGCCAUUUUCGCCUUGUCAUUAUUUAUGUAGUUUCCAACCUCUUUAAAUCUCACUCACUUUGUUUGUUUUAGAUGCGAAAUCCUUUCAUUAUUUGUUUAGAAACAAACAAAGAGUUUCUGUCUUUGCUCCUCAUUAUCAAUACUUAGAUGUAAGUGACACUUGGAAUGAAAGGAAAAGUUGAAGAGUAUUCAGUGCGAAAUUCCAGGCAGCAUAGACAAGGAAAGUAUGCAGAAGACGCUAGUUCAUCAGGUAAGAUAGUGUUGGCCCAAGCUCAGUUGAAGUUUUGAAGAAUGACAAAUGAACUCAGUGAAGGACCAGGUCNNNNNNNNNNNNNNNNNNNNNNNNNNNNNNNNNNNNNNNNNNNNNNNNNNNNNNNNNNNNNAAGGACCAGGUCCAUCUUAGGAGACACAGUUGUUAUGGCCUAUGCACAUGAGAUGCACGUGAAGAAGAUAAGCCUUUGGGAUCGAGCGGUCAUAUCUUCUGAACUGAUCGAAAAGAUUGCAUAUAGGAUAAGGAGUUGAAGUCUCCUUACGUGAAGAGAACUAUAUCCGGAUCAAGGAUAAGGAUGAGAGUUUGAAUCGUUCUAGGAAUCGAAUUUGAUGAAGGAUCAUCAAUUCGAGUUUUUGUUACUCUGAUUACUAACUCUAUAAAAGUAAUAUUGUUCUCUUGUACAGGUAUGCACAUACGUUGAAGUUAAGCAAAAUUGAGAGCAAAAGAGCAAGGGUAUUUUGCAAGCAAUUUACGUGAGAUCAAGUGUGCACACCUGCAACUACUUGAACAAGAUAGAAGAACCAGUUCCAUUGUGUUUUUCUUAUUCUAGUUCAAUUGUAGUAGGUGAUUUAAUAUUAUACCUUUCAGCUUUCAUAGAAGCAAAUUGUAUUAGGUAAGUAUAGUAUUCAAGAUAGAGCUAACUUGAGUAGUAGGUGAUUUAAAAUUGUACCUUUCCAGCUUUCAUAGAAGCAAAUUAUACUAGGUAUGUUGAGUAUUCAAGUUAGAGUUAACUUGAAAGUGUCGCAACAGUUGAGGCAGUGUGACACAAUGGGAUUAGAGUUAAUACUUAGGUUUACAAAGAGUUUUAAAUGUUGUUUUGGCUUAUUGAGUCUAGUGGAUGUUUGGGAAAAUCCUACUAAGUAGUAGGUCGUGGUUUUUUCACCUUUGAGCCAGGCGCUUUCCACGUAAAAAUCUCUGUGUUCUUUAUUUUAUGCACUCUUAAUUCCGCAAACAGCCAUAGUUAGUACAUCUAGAAGAACCAGGUUCUUCUAGUGCGAAAAUUGGGUACCACACAAAUCACCCUCCUCUUGUGUGGUAUUGACGUCUGGAACAACAAUUGGUAUCAGAACAGGUUAUCCUUGAAGAGGUUAACACCUUAGGAGAAGAUCAACAAUGAGUGCGCCGCCUGAGAAUUGGGAAGGGCAAUCCACUUCUAGGCCUCCACUUUUCAAUGGCCACUACUAUUCUUGGUGGAAGAACAGAAUGAGAGAUCACAUUAUAGGAAAGAUUAUGAACUUUGGGAUAUAGUCAUUGAUGGUCCCCUAGCAAACACUAAGAAGAAUGUUGAAGGAAUUGAAGUGCCAAAGACAAGGGCUAACUGCACUGCUGAAGACUUGAAAAAGUGGAGAAAAAUGCUAAGGCCAAGAAGUGGCUUGUAUGUGGUCUAGGACCAGACGAGUAUAGUAGGAUCCAAAGUUGUACAACUGCUAAAGAAAUAUGAGACACUCUGCAAGUGGCUCAUGAAAGAACACCUCAAGUGAAAAGAUCAAGAAGAACACUUCUGUAUUCUCAAUAUGAGAAUUUUACUAUGAAGGAAUGAGAAACUAUCCAGGAGAUGUACACUAGAUUCACCACUUUGACAAAUGAACUAGAAUCUCUUGGAAGGACUAUCCUUGAAGAAGACAAGGUUGAGAAGAUUCUGACAAGAGUUCUGCCAGUCACAUGGGAAAGCAAAAUCUGCCAUUCAGGAAUCCAAGAACAUUGCUACCCUCAGACUAGAUGAACUAAUUGGAAAUUUAACUGCCUAUGAAAUGAGGAGACAAACCAUGAAGAUGGAUACCCCCAAAAGGGAGAGAAACUAAUUGGAAAUUUAACUGCCUAUGAAAUGAGGAGACAAACCAUGAAGAUGAAUACCCCAAAAGGAAGAGAAGUUUAGCUCUCAGAAUUGUUGAAGAUGCAGAAUUGGAAGAUAAUGAAAUGACUAUGAUCACUAGGGAUUUCAAAAGGUACCUAAUGAGAGAAAAUGGUUCUUCAAGAAGUACAAGCUUCAAUAAAACAAGAGCUCCAGAGAAACAAGCAAAUGAGGGAUGCUACAAGUGUGGCAAGACUGACCACAUGAUCAAAAACUGUCCUCAAUGGAAAAUUGAGUGGAAGAAAAAAAGAGUUGAACGAACGAAAAGGAAGAAGGAACAGGUUCAACCCAGGAGAAACAAAAGUUCAACCAUGGCUAUGGUUGCUGCUUGGGGAGAAACUUCAGAUGAAGACUCAGAAGAUGAAGUUGAGGAGGAGCAAGCACUAACGGCCAACGGAGAAUCAGAUUAUGAACAAGAGGUAAGUAUUCUUCAUCUCAAAGACAAUUAAAUUCUUGGCUAAAUAAAAGUUGCCUGAGCUAUUAAUGGACUUCAUUGAUGAGUCUGAGAUAAUUAACAAUGAGAAGGAAGUUCUGUCUAGGGAGUGUGUGAUUCUAAAAGCAAAAUGUAAAAGUCUAGAGUCUAGAGCAAAUGAGAGUGAUACAAAAAUGCUGAGUGAAGAACCAGGUUCUUCAACUUGACAACAGUGUCUUAGAACUUAAGUCUGAAAAUCUAAAACUAAAAUUAGGAACAGGAAAGAAGAUAGCUGAUCACACACAUCUCACUCUAGAAGAAAGUUUGGGAAAAAUGAAAGAUGAAAUAUACAGAAAAGAUGAAUUCAUCAAAGAUUUAAAAGAAGAUCUAGGAAAAGUAAAAUAUGAACCAGACAGAACUUGCAAGUGGAACAAAGCCUCUGAUGCUCUCUCCUGGUUGCAAGAGCAUCAAAGCAGUAACAAAAAAGGACUUAGCUAUGGGACUCAAGCUCCUAAAUGGGAUCCAAAAAGCAAGUACCUCACUCUUCCUGAAAAUAAAAUCUGCACCCACUGUGGUAAGACUGGCCAUUACAAAUAUGAAUGUAAUUCAAAAAAAAUGGCCAGCCAAAGGAACAAAGUUUUUGUUACAAGACUGGUCCUUACAAAUAUAAAUGUAAUGCAAAAGAAAUGGCCAGUCAAAAGAACAAAGUGUUUGUUAAAGAAAAGAAUAAGUUGCCUGGAUGGGCAAGAAGGAAUUUAAUUCAUCCGUUUGUUUAUAGAAAGGGACUCAAACUAGUUUGGGUUCCUAAGACUAACCCCUAAUUUCCUUUUGCAGGUCCAAAUGAGAGGGAGGAACCAAAUAUGGUAUAUGGAUAGUGGCUGCUCAAAACACAUGACUUGGGACAAGGACCAGUUCCUUUCACUUAGAGGCUCUUAAAAGGAGGUAAUGUCUCCUUUGGUAAUGGAAAGAAAUGUGAGAUCAUUGGGGUUGGAAAGGUAGGCAAGACUAAUUCUUACUCCAUAGAGAAUGUCUACCUGAUAGAUGGUUUGAAAUAUAGCUUAAUAAGUGUGUCACAAUUGUCUGACAGAGCAACCUUGUGGCUUUUACCUCCACCAAAUGUUUUGUGAUAAACCUUAUCAAUGACAAGGUUGUUUUGCAGGGAAGAAGAGUUAACAAUGUUUACAUUGUAGAUUUGUCAACUUUUUCAGAAAAUGAACUCACUUGUUUAAGUGUGUUAGACAAUGAUCCCCUCUUGUGGCACAAAAGACUUGGUCAUGCCAGUCUAAAUCAGCUAAACAAAUUAGUCUCAAAGGACUUGGUAAUAGGAUUACCUAAUAUCAAGUUCAAGGAAGACAAAGUUUGUGAGGCAUGUACAAGGGGUAAGCAGGUAAGGUCAUCCUUCAAAUCCAAGAAAAUGGUAAGUACAUCGAAGACGUUGGAACUAGUUCAUAUGGAUCUUUGUGGUCCAAUGAGAAUCAUGAGCAGAGGAGGAAAGAAAUAUAUGAUGGUGUUUGUUGAUGAUUACUCUAGAUUUACCUAGGUACUAUUUCUGACAUCUAAAUAUGAUGCAUUUGAAAUGUUUACUGCUUUUGUUAGAAAAACUCAGAAACAAUUAGGAAAUCAACUUGCANNNNNNNNNNNNNNNNNNNNNNNNNNNNNNNNNNNNNNNNNNNNNNNNNNNNNNNNNNNNNNNNNNNNNNNNNNNNNNNNNNNNNNNNNNNNNNNNNNNNNNNNNNNNNNNNNNNNNNNNNNNNNNNNNNNNNNNNNNNNNNNNNNNNNNNNNNNNNNNNNNNNNNNNNNNNNNAUAUUUGAAAAUGCAAAAUUUGCUGAAUAUUGUGAUGAAAAUGGUAUAGAUCACAAUUUCUCUGCCCCUAGGACUCCUCAGCAAAAUGGAGUAAUUGAAAGAAAGAACAGGACCCUUGAGGAUAUGGCAAGGACCAUGCUUUUCUCUAGUAAAUUACCCCACAGCUUAUAGGCAGAGGCUGUAAACACUGCAUAUUACAUAAUCAAUAGAUGCAUGACUAGACCUCUUGUUGAGAAAACUUACCUUUGAGUUACUUAAAGGGAGAAAACCAAACAUAUCACAUCUUAGGGCAUUUGGUUGCAAGUUCUAUGUGCACAAUAAUGGAAAAGACUCCCUGGGUAAGUUUGAUCCCAUAAGUGAUGAGGGAGUAUUCUUGGGAUAUUCUUCACAUAGCAAAGCACUUAGGGCAUUUGGUUGCAAGUACUAUGUGUAGAAUAAUGGAAAUGACUCCCUAGGUAAGUUUGAUCCCAAAAGCGAUGAGGGAGUAUUCUUGGGAUAUACUUCACAUAGCAAAGCAUAUAAAAUAUUUAAUAAAAGAACUUUGCGUGUAGAAGAAAGUGUGCAUGUUAUAUUUGAUGAAACUAACAUUCUUUCUGAGGGACAGGAACAUGAAGAUGAAGCCAUUGGACUGGUCAAAGACUUGGGUGAAGCAUCAGCUCAAGUCAAAGCAGCACCUACAAAAGGAACGGGUGAUGGAACAGGUUCUUCCUUAUAGGGCAACCUGACAUGGGGAAAAAUCAAAGAGAAAUUGAAAUAAACCCCUUGAAGGAACCUAUGGAACAAGUGAUGGAACAGGUCCUUCCUUACAGGGCAACCUGACAGGGGGAAUAAAUCAAAGAGGAAUUGAAAUAAACUCCUUGAAGGAACCUGUUCAUGAAACUGUUUCUCAGCAAAUGGCUGAAACAUUCAGCAGAAGCCAGUUGGUUGUGAAACCUCACAAGUAUCAAAGUUCUCAUCCCAUUGAGAANNNNNNNNNNNNNNNNNNNNNNNNNNNNNNNNNNNNNNNNNNNNNNNNNNNNNNNNNNNNNNNNNNNNNNNNNNNNNNNNNNNNNNNNNNNNNNNNNNNNNNNNNNNNNNNNNNNNNNNAAACCAGAUCACAACUAAAGAAUCUAUGUGCAUUUGAUGCUUUUCUAUCUCUUAUUGAACCUAAAAAUGUUGUUGAGGCUUUGUAGGAUGCAGAUUGGAUCAAUGUUAUGCAGGAGGAACUCAACCAAUUUGGAAGAAGUCAAGUUUGGCAUCUAGUUCCAAGACCCAAGGACAGAUCACUCAUUGGUACCAAAUGGGUCCUCAGGAACAAACUUGAUGAAGAUGGAACUGUCACAAGAAACAAGGCAAGGCUGGUGGUUCAAGNNNNNNNNNNNNNNNNNNNNNNNNNNNNNNNNNNNNNNNNNNNNNNNNNNNNNNNNNNNNNNNNNNNNNNNNNNNNNNNNNNNGAAACAAGGCAAGGCUGGUGGUUCAAGGCUACAGCCAAGAGGAAGGCAUUGACUAUGAUGAGACCUUUGCUCCAGUUGCAAGGCUAGAAGCAAUCAGACUCCUCAUUGCCGUUGCAGCACAUAUGGAAUUCACUCUCCAUUAGAUGGAUGUCAAAAGUGCCUUUCUAAAUGGCUACCUCAAGGAAGAAGUGUUUGUGAAACAACCUCCAGGUUUUGAAAGCAAGAAAUGUCCUGAGCAUAUCUACAAGUGGGACAAGGUUCUGUAUGGGCUCAAACAUGCCCAAGAGCUUGGUAUGAACGAUUAUCAAAAUUCCUGCUGGAGCAUGGGUAUAAAAGAGGUAAAAUUUACAGCACUUUGUUCCGGAGGGAAAAAGGUAAAGACCUCUUUGUUGUACAAAUAUAUAUUGAUGACAUAAUAUUUGGGGCCACUACUGAUAAAUUGAGUAAGGAUUUUGCAAAAUUAAUGAAGAGUGAGUUUGAAAUGAGUAUGAUGGGUGAACUAAAUUUCUUCUUAGGCUGGCAGAUCAAACAAAGUCCACAUGGGACCAUGAUCCAUCACCAGAAGUAUACAAAAGAACUAAUCAAAAGGUUUAAAAUGGAGGACUCCAAAGAAAUAGAUACACCUAUUGCAACUGCCACUAAAUUAAAUAUUGAUGAACCUGGUUCAUCAGUUGAUCAAAAGUUGUAUAGGGGUAUGAUUGGUUCACUCUUUUAUCUUACUGUCAGCAGACCUGACAUUGUUUUCAGUGAAGGGCUUUGUGCUCGUUUCCAGGCAAAUCCAAAGGAGUUACAUUUGACAGUUCUCAAAAGGGUGUUGAAAUAUCUGAAAGGCACCACUGAUUUGUGUCUUUGGUAUCCCGAAGGUAGUAAUUUUGAUCUAGUAGAAUAUGUUGAUGCUGAUUAUGCAGGUUUCUUAGUGGACAGGAAGAGUACUUCAGGUAUGGCACAUUUCCUNNNNNNNNNNNNNNNNNNNNNNNNNNNNNNNNNNNNNNNNNNNNNNNNNNNNNNNNNNNNNNNNNNACUUCAGGUAUGGCACAUUUCCUGGGGUCAUGUCUAGUGUCAUGGGCUACCAAAAAGCAAAAUUCAGUAGCCCUAUCUACUGCUAAAGCUGAAUAUAUUGUUGUUGCUUCUUGUUGUGCUAAGUUGAUAUGGAUCAAACAACAACUGGUAGACUUUGGAAUUGAAGUAGGAUGUAUUCCAAUAUUUUGUGAUAACAUUUGUGCUAUAAGUAUGACAAAGAACCCUGUUCAUCAUAAAAGGACCAAGCACAUAGAUGUUAGACGAUAACACUAAUGCUAGAAGUAUGACAAAGAACCAUGUUAAUAAUAAAAGUACCAAGCACAUAGAUGGUAGACACCACUUCUUAAGAGAUAACUAUGAGAAAGGGUUAAUCUCAAUAGAAUUAUUUGCUACUUAUAAACGAAUAGCUGACAUCUUCACUAAAGCACUAAGUAGAUAAAACUUUGAAAGGAACAGGUUGGAAUUAGGGAUGAUUAAGAUCACCUAAAAAGGUCCAGUUCAGAAUGCAAUGAAAAAAAAAAUUAUUUCUGUUUGGUUAGAAGUUCUAACUUUAUGUGAAUAUCUAAACUAAUUCUUACUCAGUCUCAUACUCUAAUCAUUAUACUCCUGUGACAUGUUUUCUUUUAAUUCAUUGAUCUCUUACAAAGUUUCUUUUCUAUUAUGAUAUAUGAGGCAUAAUCAAGAGAAGUUCUACUUGAAGAACCUGGUUCAUCAGUAUAUGCUCAUGAGAAAAGGUCAGGUAUGUUUCUAUACUUUGCACAAUUAAAAAAUUAAAUAUUCCAAUUAUGAGCAGAAGUCCUAUUCUAACCGAACUCCCAAAAAUAUAACCGUUGAGCAUUGGACCAGUUUUAUUCUCCUAGAAUUCUAAAGAAAAACGGGACUUUUUCCUAAAAACUAGUGACUUAAAGACUGGAGUCUUAAUGGGAUUAGACUCCUGAUUGACCACUGAAAAAAAGUUGUCGCUACUGCUCCUAAUCAUACUCCAUUUUAAAUACACUCCAUACACCCCUAAUUUGGAUCAUAACCGCCAUUAAGUGCUAAACCGUUGAUCAUCCUUCUUCUCAAAAAUCUCCAAAAAUCCCCAAAAUCUUAUAGAAAUCCUUCGCCAUGACUAAUCCUCAAGAAAAUACAGGAACGCUCCAACUUGUAUCUCCCAAUACAUCCUUGUCUGCACCCCCUAGCAACAAUCCUAAACCCAGAUUCCGCCGGCAAAAGAUGUUGGCAAGAAAAACUGUAGCUACUGGCGCUCUGAGAACGGCUCUAAAUGAAAAAUUGAGAGCCAGCCAGAAAAAGGAGUACUCUGAAAAGGAAUCAUCUGACUCGAGUUCUGAUUUUGAAGCUUUUAUUUUUGCAAGUAAUGGAGAAGAACGGGGUCUUCUAACACAGACAAGAAUAAAAAAAACACUAGGAAGGUAAAUACAUGUUAUGGCUCUUCUGAUGUAGUCGAGAAACUAGAAAAUAUGUUUGUUGUGGUGGGUCCGGACAAGAAUCAAGAAAACCCUUGGAAGGUUAAUACAUGUUAUGGUUCUUCUUAUGCAGUCGAGAAAACAGAAAACAGGUUUGUUUUGAUGGGUCCUUUGAAAGAUUUGAAGGGGGUGAAUCUAGUCGAAAGGGUAGGAAAAAGAAAGACAAAAUUCUUGCAAUUUGUGGGAAUGUUGAGGGAGAGUGGCAACAAGUUAGGGGGAAAUAGCUUCGGGGACGCUGUUGAAGGUCUUGUUCACCUGAGUAAGCAACAAGUUAAAAGUAGUUCAUCUGGUAAGGAAACCCUAGCUGACCUCCUGAAGAAGGUUGGGGCCAACUAUGAUCUAAAGAAGCGCGAGGCUUCUUCCCUGAAAGCUCCAACUGCUUCCAAGCCAACAAAGAAAACCAAAUUGUCAUCUCCUAAGUCUGCUGUCUCUUUAUUACCAAAGGGAAGAGCAACUAGAAGCAGGGUUAAACAAAGUGAGGAACAAUUGCAGAAAGCACGGGAAGAAAGCAGGAAGAAAAAGAGUGAAAAAGGGAAGGCAAAAGUUGUGGAGAGUAUCGAGGUAGCUGAAGAAGAAGAAGAGGAGAUGGACGUGGUCCAUCAAGAAAGAGGAACAACUGAAAAGGUGCCAACACCCAAGCCAAAAAGUUCCAAGACUUCGACCAAGAAGACCUCCUCUGUACCCAUAUCUGCUAAGUCCUCGUUGGCUAAAAGGACUAGGUCUACCGAGAAAAGAAAACAAAAGAAAAUUAUUGAAGAAGAAGAAGAAUGGAGUGGAGAAGAAGAAGAGGAGGAAUCUGAAAAGGAACAGGAUAUAUUUGUCCUAUUUAGGAAGAACUAGGUCUACCGGAAUGAGAAAACAAAAGAAAAUUAUUGAAGAAGAAAAAAAAUGGAGUGGAGAAAAAGAAGAAGAGGGAUCCGAAAAGGAACAGGAUAGAUUUGUCCUCUUUGGCAGGAGAAAGAUCUUGAAAGGAAGAAUUCUGAAAGACCUGGAGGAGCAAGGCAUGAAAGGAUAAAUCCAAGAAAAGAUCUUGAAAGGAAGAAUUCUGAAAGACUUGGAGGAGCCAUGCAUGAAAGGAUUGGUUGAUGCCCUGAAUGCACAAGGGUAGAAGGACAUGGUUCUUCAACUGGAAGGCAAACUGGCAAGAAACGAGCUGAUCAAAUUUAAGGCAAAUGCCAUAGUGGUGAAUGGGGUUGUUACCAGUCUGGUGAAAGGAGUCAAGGUACAGUUUGAUGCUCCUAAAUUGGGAGAGAUUCUAGACAUUCCCAGUGUAGGAUAUGAUGAUUAUACUAGGCAAAGGUGGCCUUGCCUGGACUCUCUUCCUAAUGCACUCCAAAUCACCAGAAACUUUUGUGACUCUGCAACACAAAUGUGUCAGAAGCUCGGUUUGUUCAGAGAAGUGAGAUGAGGGCUAAGCACAAGGUGCUCUUUGAGUUUGUGAACAAAUGUUUGUUGCCCAGACAGGAGAGAAGGCACACUGCAAAUUACAUGGACCUGAUCCUUCUGGAGUGUCUAGCGAGAAGAAAGCAGAUUAACUCGCAUGCGUUCAUUGUCAAACUACUGGAUGGAGUCAUCAACGGCUCCAAAGCUCAUGCCACACCUUAUGGCUUCCUAUUGACUACUGUUCUGGAAAAGCUAAUGUGCCUUUGAAGAAAUCGAAAAUGGCAUCUAGUAAAGAGCACUUUGGUAUCAAGACUGUUAUGGCUUGUGACUAUCCAGUGAAUGCUAACCCAGCUGAACUAGGUUCAUCUCAAAAGACUCCUGUAAAUAGCAAGGUUAGGGCCUUAGUUCAAGAGUGUGAAACAAAAGAUGUUGAAAUAGCUAGGCUGCAGGCUCGUGUUAGUGAAUUAGAAACUGAACGAGAUGGACUUAGAGCUGAGCUAGCAAAGGAAAAGGAGAAGAGUAAUGGAAUACUUCAGAAUAUGUUCAACCUUCUCCAAACCCAGCCCUCUAGUACCUCGAAGCCCUAAAGCCAGUUUAAAAUACCCCUCAGUAACCCAGAUUCGAGACUUUUCUCUGCUUUUGCUCAUGGUUGGAUGUUUAUUUUUCUUUUUGUGGUCUGUUUUGUAGAAACACCUCCUAAUCAAUGACAAAAAUGUGCCUUGUUCUCUUGUUCUAUGAAACUUCUGAUCUUAAUAGUUAAAUUCUUUAUGAAGUUGAUUAUUGGUUAACUGAAUCAUGUUUUCACUAGUAGUUGUCCCAGCGGCCAUGGAUACUAAUUAACAUAUGGGAUUCAUAUAAUAUGCAACUUUUCAAUGAUGCCAAAAGGGGAAGAGAUAUUGUGCUUAAUUUUUUUUGUAUUCUGAAAUAAAGUGAUAUUUAUAACCUGAUUAAACCUGGUCCUUAAUGAUAAGCUAAUUUAAAGUGUGAAAAUUAAGCUGAGUUCCACAGGUCUCUGAUCAAUAAAAGCACAAAGUUUGUCAUCAUCAAAAGGGGGAGUUUGUUUGGCCCAAGUGCCACAAGUUCUCUGAUCAGUAAAAGCACAGAGUUUGUCAUCAUCAAAAAGGGAAAAUUUGUUAGCCCCAGCUCAGUUGAAGUUUUGAAGAAUGACAAAUGAACUCAGUGAAGGACCAGGUCCGGAGACACAGUUGUUAUGGUCUAUGCACAUGAGAUGCACGUGAAGAAGAUAAGCCUUUGGGAUCGAGCAGCAAUAUGUUCUGAAUAUCUUCUAAACUAAUCGAAAAGAUUGCAUAUAGGAUAAGGAGUUGAAGUCUCCCUAUGUGAAGAGAACUAUAUCCGGAUCAAGGAUAAGGAUUGGAGUUUUGAUCGAAAAAAUUGCACAUAGGAUAAAGAGUUGAAGUCUCCUUAUGUGAAUAGAACUAUAUCCGGAUCAAGGAUAAGGAUUAGAGUUUGAAUUGUUCUAGGAUUCGAAUUUGAUGAAGGAUCAGCAAUUCGAGUUUUUGUUAAACUCUGAUUACUAACUCUAUAAAAGUAAUAUUGUUCUCUUGUACAAGUAUACACAUACGCUGAAGUUAAGCAAAAUUGAGAGCUAAAGAGCAAGGCUAUUUUGCAAGCAAUUUACGUGAGAUCAAGUGUGCACACCUGCAACUACUUGAACAAGAUAGAAGAACCAGUUCCAUUGUGUUUUUCUUAUUCUAGUUCAAUUGUAGUAGGUGAUAAAAGAGCAAGGGUAUUUUGCAAGCAAUUUACGUGAGAUCAAGUGUGCACACCUGCAACUACUUGAACAAGAUAGAAGAACCAGUUCCAUUGUGUUUAUUCUUAUUCUAGUUCAAAUGUAGUAGGUGAUUUAAAAUUGUACAUUUCCAGCUUUCAACAACAACAACAACCCAGUAUAAUCCCACUUAGUGGGUCUGAAGAGGGUAGUAUGUACGCAGACCUUACCCCUACCCUUGGGUAGAGAGGCUGUUUCCAAAUAGANNNNNNNNNNNNNNNNNNNNNNNNNNNNNNNNNNNNNNNNNNNNNNNNNNNNNNNNNNNNNNNNNNNNNNNNNNNNNNNNNNNNNNNNNNNNNNNNNNNNNNNNNNNNNNNNNNNNNNNNNNNNNNNNNNNNNNNNNNNNNNNNNNNNNNNNNNNNNNNNNNNNNNNNNNNNNNCCAAGAACUUCCUACCUUGCUCUUGGGGAGACUCGAACUCACAACCUCUCGGUUGGAAGUGGGGGUUGCUUACCAUCAGAGCAACCCCUCUCAUCCUUUCCAGCUUUCAUAGAUGCAAAUUGUAUUAGGUACGUUGAGCAUUCAAGUUAGAGUUAACUUGAAAGUGUCGCAAUAGUUGAGGCUGUGUGCCACACUGGGAUUAGAGUUAAUCCUUAGGUUUACAAAGAGUUUUGUAAAUGUUGUUUCAGCUCAUUGAGUUUAGUGGAUGUUUGGGAAAAUUCUAUUAAGUAGUAGGUCGUGGUUUCUUCACCUUUUGAGUCAGAUGUUUUCCACGUAAAAAUCUCUGUGCCUUUAUUUUAUGCACUCUUAAUUCCGCAAACAGUUAGUACAUCCAGGUUCUUCUAGUGCGAAAAUUGGGUACCACACAAAUCACCCCCUCUUGUGUGGUAUUAACGUCUGGAACAACAGAUAGAAAUACUUUCAUCAUUAGUUUAGAAACAAAGAGUUCUUAUCUUUGCUCUGUACUAUCAAUACUUAGAUGUAAAUGACACUUAGAAUGAAAGGAAAAAUUGAAGAGCAUUCAGUGCGAAACAAAAUGUCUGUGAUGCAAGUCCGAAAAGGAAAAAGAAGAUGGUCGGAGGGUAUACAUUGGUGGAGGGGGUGAGGCUAGGGAGAGGUAGAGGAGCACCAGGGGUUUGGAUGGGAAUGAAAGUGGCUUUCGAAACACAACACUAUGAUCUUCACAAAAAUAGCCCUUUUUCUAAACUUUUGGAAAUUUUUACAAAAAGAGCUCGUGUUAUUGAUACAUUUUCAAUAAAUGAGAAGAAAAAUUGUUUCUCUACAUGGUUAUGAAAAAGGGUAUCUGCACACGUUGCUCCCAUGGACGAUCAAAUGCAUCAAACAAGGCUUAGAUAGUUCCGGCACGUGAGGAGAAGAAGCCCAGAUGUCCCGGUUAGGAGGUGCGAGCGGUUGGCUUUGGCAGGUACGAGAAGAGGUAGAAGGCGGUCUAAGAAUUAUUGGGGCGAGGCAAUCAGACAAGACAUGGCGCAGCUUUAGAUUUCCGAGGACAUAGCUCUUGAUAGGAAAGUUAAGAGGUCGAGCACUAGGGUCGUAUGUUAAGGGGUGGUUGAGCGUUUUUUUUCUUUGUACCGGUUAGUCUUAUAGAGUUUUAUCUUGGACUGCUAGCGGAUUAUGUUGUGUCAUGUGUGCACACCAUUUUUCUAAUUUUACAUAGUAUUGGGUUAUUAACUUCCACUUAUUUGUUGUCUCUUUCUAUGCUGAUUAUUAUUUUUCUGGUUUCUUUGUUGUUACGGAUUUAUUCUUUUGUUCUUUUCUGAUAUUAUUGUCUCGUCUGUUGAGCCGAGGGUCUCCUAGAAACAGCCUCCUUACACUCCUGGGACAGAAAUAAGGUCUACGUAGACUUUACCCUCCCCAUAUCCCACUAGUGGGAUUCUACUGGGUUAUUGUUUUUACACACGUAUUUCCCCGUACAAAUUUGAUAUGCACCUUUGUACAAAGCACCCUUAAGUUUUCAGUUAACGCUGAAUGGUUUGGUCUUGGAAAAGUAAGCACCACCGGGUUCAAAAUAAAGCAGCCAAAUUCUUUUUAAAGAUCAUAUGACAAAGUAGGCCAUAGCUGACACAUACAGAGAAAAUGGCAAAACAUUCAAUGCAACAUAUGCCAAGUUCUGGACUUAUUUCUAAAAGGAAAUUCUAUUUACAGAGACUUAGCGAUGUGGCUUCUUAAGUACUACUCAGGUUAGUAAAAAAUGACAUUUUUGCUGCAUUUGUACAAACUUGCAGAGUUCUCUUCAUGCAGAUUUCCUUAAACUAAUACAGUGAAAUAAUAUUCACUGGAACACCUAACCUGCUCUAAACCAUACAGAAUUCUACGGUUUUCUGAACCUAUUUCAUCACCCAGGAAACCUAUUCCCAACUUGCCAGCUUGUAUAGUAUAACUAGUACUAGUAAAUCAUAUUGCAUGAAAAAGAAUAAUAUUACUGGCUUACUGCUGCCACUAUAGUUUCUUUCAGCAACUAGUGAAUACAUGGAUAAAUUGCACUAAAAUGUUUAUAAAACCUAAAAGCCCUAGUAUGAUAAAUGCCAAUUUUUUUCCAGAAUAGGAGCUAGAAAAACUCUUAAAAUGGAGAAAAGAAAUCACAAGAGAUAAUUGCACUCCAAUACUGAACAGGACAUGUGGACCUUUAACAAGUGUAGUCCAAACAAAGUCAAGUUAUUCACAGACUUUCUUAUUAUGAUAAAUGCCAACUCUUUAACACCACAGGAGCUAGAAAACCUCUUAAAUCUGAGGAAAGAAAAGGAAAUGUGACAUUUUUUAAUCCUUUAAGGAAUAAAAAUAUAAAGAGCAGGAUUUUCACAGCCCAAAAAUAUACUAAAUUCAGUUUUCAGAGAAACCCCACGAAAUGAAGGACACCAACAAGCAAUAACAACAGGAAGAAUCCAAAAGACGUCAAAGUAAUGCAAAAAAAAAAAAAAACUUUUAUACAGCAAAAAAAUAUAUGCAAAUUCAACUUCCAAAGAAAUCUAAUGGGAAAAAACAAAAAUUGAAGGACACCACAAGAAGAGUCCAAAACAAGUCAAUCUAUGCAACAACAAACCACAAAAGUUCACAUUUUUAUAGAGCAAAAAAUAGAGUCCAACUAAAAUUCAAAUUUCAAUGAAAUUUAAUGGGGGAAACCGCAAAUUGAAGGACACCCACAAGCAAUAAUAACAAGAAAAGUCCAAAAAAAGUAAAUUUAUUCAGAGGUUAGUACCUCAAUAACAUGAGGUCUGAGAUCUUUAACAAUGAGUCGCAUCUUGUAAUAAGGGGUGGAGGUGUCAAGUGGCCUCUUUCUACUGUUCAUGUGUUGUUGAGAAGAAGGAUUUUGAAUUGGGGGUUCCAUGGAUUCACUUUCCCUUCUACUCUGUACAAAUGGAAGGACUCAAAAAGCAGUGAAUCUUUGGUCUUUUACUUGAAUCUUUGAGCAAAUGUCAAUCAGGUCCCA
rnacentral:lncRNA from 1 species